ensembl:ncRNA F53B2.15 ncRNA
AGGCGUGAAUGGAAAUGCAAGUUGGCAGCAGCAGUAAUUACCUAUUUGGAGGUAGGAGGCGGCACGUUCAAAUAACCAACCAAACUGCCAAUUAAGGUACUUUUGAUGAUGGUGCAACUGGUAAACGGUUGCCAAGGAGGCA